UGUUUUAUGAAUAGAUAUAAAGUAUAAUCUGCCCGGUGAUAAAGAUUAUUUAACGGCCGCAGUAUUUUGACUGUGCUAAGGUAGCAUAAUAGCUUGUCUCUUAAUUAGAGUCUAGAAUAAAGGAUCUUAUAGGCUUAAACUUUUUUCUCUUAUUUAAUUAAAUUUAAUUAUUGAGUAAAAAGGCUCAAAUAAACAAAAAAGACGAUAAGACCCUAUAAAACUUAAUCACAAAAGAUUUUCAUUGAUAAUUUUAUUAUAAUCGUUGUAAAUAAGGAGUAAUUAGGUUGGGGCGACUAUAAUUAAACAUUAAACAUUUUAACACAUAAUGACUAAAAUCAACUGACUUUUGACCCUUCAAAGAUUAAUUGACAAAGUUACUUUAGGGAUAACAGCGUAAUUUUUUUGGAGAGCUCUUAUCGAUAAAAAAGUUUUCGACCUCGAUGUUGGAUAAAAAAAUCUUAUUAAAGCAGAAUUUAAUAAAGUUGGUCUGUUCGACCAUCAAAAUUUU
rnacentral:rRNA from 1 species